GAUGAACGCUGGCGGCGUGCCUAAUACGUGCAAGUCGAGCGAACGGACGAGAAGCUUGCUUCUCUGAUGUUAGCGGCGGACGGGUGAGUAACACGUGGAUAACCUACCUAUAAGACUGGGAUAACUUCGGGAAACCGUAGCUAAUACCGGAUAAUAUUUUGAACCGCAUUGUUCAAAAGUGAAAGACGGUCUUGCUGUCACUUAUAGAUGGAUCCGCGCUGCUUUAGCUAGUUGGUAAGGUAACGGCUUACCAAGGCAACGAUGCAUAGCCGACCUGAGAGGAGGAGCGGCCACACUGGAACUGAGACGCGGUCCAGGGUCCUACGGGAGGCAGCAGUAGGGAAGCUUCCGCAAUGGGCGGAAGCCUGACGGAGCAACGCCGCGUGAGUGAUGAAGGUCUUCGGGUCGUAAAACUCUGUUAUUAGGGAAGAACAUAUGUGUAAGUAACUGUGCACAUCUUGACGGUACCUAAUCAGAAAGCCACGGCUAACUACGUG
rnacentral:rRNA from 1 species